rnacentral:misc_RNA from 1 species
UCUCCGUUGGUGAACCAGCGGAGGGAUCAUUAUCGAGUUUAUAACUCCCAAACCCUAUGUGAACUUACCACUUGUUGCUUCGGCGCGCGCUUCGGCGCCGCCGAGGACACUUAAACUCUUUGUUUUUAUAAGCAUUUCUGAGUGGCCGAAAGGCAAAAUACAAAUGAAUCAAAACUUUCAACAACGGAUCUCUUGGUUCUGGCAUUGAUGAAGAACGCAGC